UAGCCUAGUGGUCAAGGCUAUGGAUCACCAAUCCGGAGGCGGCGGGUUCGAUUCCCGU
rnacentral:tRNA from 1 species